rnacentral:rRNA from 1 species
GAUGAACGCUGGCGGCGUGCUUAACACAUGCAAGUCGAACGGAAAGGCCCUGCUAUUGUGGUUCGCUUGAGUGGCGAGCGGGUGAGUAACACGUGAGUAACCUGCCCUUGACAAUGGGAUAUCUUCACGGAACUUGGUCUCAUACCGGAUAGGAGCUCCUGCUGCGUGUUGGGCGGUGGAGAGUUUCGGCGGUGGUGGCUGGACUGGCGGCUUAUGAGCUUGUUGAUGGGGUAGUGGCUGACCAGGCCUAUGACGGGUAGCCGGCCUGAGAGGGUGACCAGCCGCAUUGCGGCUAAGGGACGGCGCAGACUCCUACGGGAGGCAGCAGUGGGGAGUAUUGCACAGUAGUGGGAGGCCUGAUGCAGCAGCGCCGCGUGCGGGAUGACGGCCUUCGAGUUGUAAACCGCUUUCGACUGUGACGAAGAGUGAGUGACGGUAACGGGUAAAGAAGCACCGGCUAACUACGUG